CUCCACUGUCCAUCAUGGGCAAGGUGGGGUGGGAUAUGGGUGUGUGGUCUAUGAAGCUGUGAGAGAAGUAUGUUCCAGAUGUCCUAAGAAAAGGUAGGAAAACCCAAGCAUGAAGCCCCAGAUGAGUGAUGGGAUUGGGAGCUGGAGAUGAGAGGAAGGCGCCCCACAGGCCUCAACUUGCCUUCUUAGAAAUCAGAUACUUGUCUGUUGGUGGCUAAUAUGUGCUCUCUGUGGUAGCUAAACUAAUGGCAUGGUUAAGUAUAGGUGACUACAAAUUAGAGUUGUUCAUUAUUUGAAAUACUUGUAAUGAAGAUAUUCACAUUGCAAGAAAUCUCAACAUUAUAUUUACCAUUACAUUUAAAACAGUUAAUUUUUAAGUAUAAUUCAGCUGCUGAAGUUUUGAGUGGU